GUGUGACAUAACACCUGUAAGCAGUCCUCGCUGUUGCACGCCUUCUCUUCUUUUUUUUUGUGAACAUGUGUGUGCCCUGCCUCUCUUUUUUCACGGCCAAACCUACUUCCUGGUGGAUGAGGCAGCUCCUCAGUGUUGUCGAGGCUAAAGGGAAGGUGGAGGCGGCUGUAGACGGUGUGCAGACGCGAUACAGCAGUUUUUUUCCCAGUACACUUUAUUAGUAGUAUUUUAUAUUUUUAUUUUUUUAAGGUGUUGCGCGUUUGCAGGAAAACAAAACAUGGGAAGCACGGUGAUGGAGUCCAGCAAGGGGAGCUCAAAGAAAAUACCAAAGAAGAGGAGAAGUCUGCGGAUUAACAUGCCAGAUUUCGGGGCGUUUAAUGCCCCUCAAGUGGAGACGAGUGGCUCAACCAAAAGCGGAGCCCACACGGGAGAGCGGCUCAUUCGUUCAGCCAGCCCCAUCAAAGGAGGUUCUGCGAAGAGCCCGGACAUCGCCACACUGCCUCCAUGUCCCCAGUCUGCUCCAGUUCAAUCAAAGCCAAAUUCAGGUUCCCCCAAAAGCAUCUUCCCUUAUCCCUCCCAUCAGAACUCCCCUAAGUCCCCUCGUCGACUGAGCUUCAGCGGUAUCUUCCGGUCGUCCGGUUCUCCCUCUUCGAGCAUCAAACUCUUUUCCAGAACCAGGAGAGCCUCUGGACUCUCUACACCACCCCACACCCCAACCCAGGCAUCCAGCCAACCAGUGUUCACCCAGGAGGCCCAGCAGAGCGGCCCCAGCCCUGAACGCCCGGCGCAAAGCUCUCGCUCUCGCUCCCUUUCCACACCUCCGGACACAGGACAGCGCCUCAGCCUUCCUUCUGCUAAACCCCCAAUCCCUUCAUCGAGCCCCGUGCCACCUUAUUCUACCUCACAACAAGUCAACAACAAGGCUACUGAGCCAUACCCUCCUUCCUUGCAGGUCUACAGUUUAUUCGAAGGCAUGCUGGAGAAACUUGAUCUAGACGAUGAUGCUGCUGAACCCGAGAGUGAUAUUUACAUGCGCUUUAUGAAAUCCCACAAGUGCUAUGACAUCGUCCCCACAAGCUCCAAGUUGGUUGUGUUUGACACAGCACUCCAAGUUAAGAAAGCAUUCUUCGCCUUGGUAGCCAACGGUGUGCGGGCUGCUCCACUAUGGGACACAGAGAAGCAAAGCUUUGUGGGAAUGCUGACAAUCACAGAUUUCAUCAUCAUACUACACAGAUACUAUAAGUCACCGAUGGUGCAAAUUUAUGAAUUAGAGGAACAUAAGCUCGAGACGUGGAGAGAGGUUUACCUUCAAGCAACAUUCAAACCUCUGGUGAACAUAUCACCAGAUGCAAGCCUAUUUGACGCCGUCUACACUCUCAUCAAAAACAAAAUUCACCGGCUGCCUGUCAUCGACCCCGUUACAGGGAAUGCACUUUAUAUUCUCACACACAAGAGGAUCCUCAAGUUCCUCCAGCUCUUUAUGUGUGAGAUGCCAAAGCCAGCUUUUAUGAAACAGACUCUUGGCGAGCUGGGCAUCGGAACAUACCACGACAUUGCUUUCAUCCACCCAGACACACCCAUCAUCAAAGCACUCAACAUCUUUGUGGAGCGGCGAGUGUCUGCUUUGCCUGUGGUGGAUGACUCGGGCAAAGUUGUGGAUAUUUACUCCAAGUUUGAUGUGAUUAACUUGGCUGCUGAGAAGACGUACAACAAUCUGGACAUUUCAGUGACCCAGGCUCUGAAACAUCGCUCUCAGUACUUCGAAGGAGUUAUGAAGUGCCAUAAAAUGGAAACGAUGGAGACCAUUGUGGACAGAAUAGUCAAAGCUGAAGUGCAUCGGUUGGUGGUGGUGGACGAGCGCUCCAGUAUCGAGGGCAUCGUUUCCCUGUCAGACAUCCUUCAGGCGCUGGUGCUCAGUCCUGCAGGUAUAGAUGCUCAGCAUUGCUAGCGUCAACUCCCCCUCUGCCCUGGACCUUGAGCUCUCUCUAGCCACCUGCCCUCUAACCCUGCCCCAGAUACCUGUAAGGAGGAGAACACGACUGAAUGAGAAGUGGAUGUAUCAGCUUAAGUGGAGAUGUGGUGGGAGUAAUUAAAUUGAAACAUUAAGGUAGGGAGUGUAAGGCUGAGUGGAGCCAGGCUGAAGGUCCCAGAUACCCCUGAAACCAAUGCACUAAUAAAGGCUUGGAACCCAAAGAGCUAGACUGCUGAGUGAAGUGGACUUCUGCACUGAAGAUUGUUUUUUUUGUUUGUUUUUUUUUCCCCUGAAUUUCUUCUUUGUUAGUGUUGGGUUUUUUUUAUAAACACUGAUCAAAUACGCACAUAAGAUAAGAUAACCUUUAUUAGUCCCACACGUGGGAAAUUUGUUUUGUCACAGCAGGAAGUGGACAUGUUAAUGGUGUAGACACUGAUCAGCUGCAACAUUAAAACCACUGAUGGGCGGAUUAAACAUUGAGUCCAGUGUGUUCUAAUUGUGUUUUGGGUCCCAACAUUUAUGAGGUACAUAACAUUCCUUGCUUGAUGAUUCUGCUAAAACGAGAUUGAUUAGACUCUAAAUUAGAAGAAACGAGAAUAGGUCAAAGAAAAAGUGUUUCAUCGUUUUUAAAAAUCUGAAUUUUCUGCAUGUUAUUGCUGCUUGGGGCGUUCGUAAACCGAACAAUUCAGAGAUGCAUGAGAAAUGUGCGGUCAUUAUGUCGUGCAUGCCUUUCCUUUAAUGAGACCAUGCAGUGCAGGUUUGGGUUGUGCUGAAACUGGUUUACAGUUGCUGGAAAUUUAAAAAAAAAAAAAAAAAAAGUGCCAAAGAUGCUCAUGAGUCAUGUACAGAUGACUCAGAUUAGUGGAAAGGGGCUAUAGCCAUCCACCAACCACCUAAACAGUUUUGCAAACCAGCCCAUCUCUGACCCCCAAGGCAAAAAUUCUCAGGAACACUUCAGUAAACUGCUUCCAAACUUCCCAGAUCCCAAUCUAAUCAGUCAUCCCUGGGGAGCACGGGUAUGACCCGAUCCACCAGGGGUUUGCCCUCAUUGUAUGAUGCCUGAUAGAACAGGACACCCGAGGGUCCUGUCUCCAUUCUCCAUACACUACAGCAGGUUUGGUGGUGUGACUGAGACCUGCCAACAGUAUUGGGACGGUGGUUCUUAUGUUGUGGCUGAUUCCUGUUAACACAGAUAAACUCCAUUAAGGUUUCUUUCUGGGGAAAGUUUGGAAACGUCAACACGGGUUCUGGUGGGUUUGGGAUUCAGUGUUUCGGGUUACAGUCAUGCUGCUGUCAUCACAAGUUUAAGUCACGUAGGAAAGCGAGCGUUAACUGGUAACAAAACCACACGUUACCUGCAAUGUGGUCACUUGACGCCAUUAAAGAAAGUGUUUGCCAGUGCCAAUACAGACCUGCUCAAUGCCCAAUAUUUAUUUGUGCCUUUACUUACUUCUCUCCACAGAAAUGUAUGUUGUAAAAUGGGUGCAAUGAUGAGUAUGAAUGUGUAAUAUUGAAGUAGAGUGCAAAUUGUACCUGCUGCUUCAAAGGUGUGCAUUUACUCGGUUUGGGGGCGGCAUAAAUUUAAAACUGUGUCAGAAGCGUCAAGAAGUUCUGUUAAAUCUUAUUCUUGAAAGAAAAUCCUAAAUCACACUGGCGCUGUUACGCAUUGCUCAGAGGGAAGAUGCAACUGCACGCUUCUGUCAGCCAGGAGUGCUUUAAGUCAUGAGUGAUCAAUAAGACUUAAGUAUGGAUUUUAUAAUGGUAACACCUGGUUCAGGAAAAAGCCUUUUUAAAUAUUUGAAAAGCUUUUUCUUCCCCCCUUCCCGUUUAUUUUCAGUAGUUUUGAAUCUUCAAAUCAGUCUGGUUAUCUCAGCUGUAGCUCAACAGGACUCAUCUCCAUCUUCGAGUGUAAAUAGGAUCGUUUUCGGGAAAUGUGUCACAGAAAGAUUUAUUUUUAUGAACGGUGACGUGUUUGAAGAGAGACUGCAGGUUUAAUGUUAGUUUUGUAAAUACAUUGUGGCAAUAUGUGUAGUUCAGAGAAACUUUGUAACGGAUCAACAUGUACUGUAAAUGUGCAAGCAUGAGAAACUACACUUCAGCAGUAUGAAUGUUUUUUUGUUUUUUUUUUUCUUUUACUUUUUCUAUUUUUCUGGCUGCAGAAAAAUAAAGAGACACUGAAUGUA